rnacentral:sRNA from 1 species
CAGGCAUGAGCCACUGCACCUGGCCUGAACUAAACAGUCUUGGUAAGGCUUUAUUCUAUUGUCAUUCAUGUCAUUUCAACGGCUUUCAUUUUUUUGACUUAACUUUGAUCUCACGUCUCUAGGAAUCGAAGUCAACUAUGAAAAUGAUUUUUAUUGUGAGUAAUGGUGAAAAAGAGAGAGAGGCGUGAGCCACCACGCCCGGCCAAAAAAAUUAUUUAAGUAUGCAGUAAACUCAAAGUCUGUGUGGACUCUAUUUACAGGGUAUGCUUUUUCCAAGCCAGAUUUGAUCACAUGGAUGGAACAAGGGAGAAUGCUAUUAAUCAGCGAACAGGGAUGCUUAGAUAAAACAAGAAGGACAACUAGCCCUCCUACUGAUGAACAGUUGAACAUGAAGAACACUGGAAAGUUGCUAUGUUUUGGUGAGUAAGAUGGAUUUAAGGUCAUGAAUUAUUUAAUUUUCCUAGCCUUGUUUCCUGAAUCUUUCUUUUUGGAUAUCUGACUAGAUCUAGUCAAUAAAAAAAGUUGUUUUGAUGGAGAA